UUGUCUACUUGAUUUUUUGGGUUGAAUUUGAUAGAAGAUGAACUACAAAAGAUCUUUGAUAGCAACACUUCUCAAUCCUCAUGGCCGAGAAGAACUAAACGAAGCUUAUAGACCAAGGAUCUAACCCAAGAUUGUAGAGAUCGAGUUUCUA